rnacentral:rRNA from 1 species
UACGAAAGGUGCAAGCGUUAAUCGGCAUUACUGGGCGUAAAGCGUGCGCAGGCGGUAAUGUAAGACAGUUGUGAAAUCCCCGGGCUCAACCUGGGAACUGCAUCUGUGACUGCAUUGCUGGAGUACGGCAGAGGGGGAUGGAAGUCCGCGUGUAGCAGUGAAAUGCGUAGUUAUGCGGCGGAACACCGAUGGCGAAGGCAAUCCCCUGGGGCUGUACUGACGCUCAUGCAAGAAAGCGUGGGGAGCAAACAGG